UACGGAGGGGGCAAGCGUUGUUCGGAAUCACUGGGCGUAAAGGGUGCGUAGGCGGGUUUUUAAGUCAGGGGUGAAAUCCUGGAGCUCAACUCCAGAACUGCCUUUGAUACUGAAGAUCUUGAGUCCGGGAGAGGUGAGUGGAACUGCGAGUGUAGAGGUGAAAUUCGUAGAUAUUCGCAAGAACACCAGUGGCGAAGGCGGCUCACUGGACCGGUACUGACGCUGAGGCACGAAAGCGUGGGGAGCAAACAGG
rnacentral:rRNA from 1 species